CAGUUCUUGUGGUCCAGAAGGCAGGCAGCAGGAAUGCUCUUGUAGAAGCUCUUACCUUCUGGACUGUUUCUGCCACUGGAGUCAGGAGGCUCUUAAAAGGUCCAAUGACCCACACCCAAAAGCAGCAGCCCUCAAGUGGAAGCCACGGAAACCUUGAAUAGCAUCUUUGAAAUCCAAAAUAAAUUCUGAAGACAUUCGCCAUCCCACUGACAUGGAGGCCAACAAUUACGACAGAUCACUGAUAUGCAUAAACUAUUUCAACACCAGAACAUGUGAGAUCUGUGUUUGAAGCCUUAAAUCUACAGAGAGACUGCACCUGCCAGAACUGGAAGACCCCCUUCUCCUAAAUGAUACCAGUGAGGGCCCUUUGGGGAAACCAAAUCCAGCUCUUUUGGGGCAGAGGCUGCAACUGUGAUGGAGACAUGGAGCCAUUGUCGAGACCUACAAAACUCUUCCAAAAAGUCAUAGUUGAACAGCAGCGGAGGAGGGAGAAAGGAGGAAUAAAAAGCACAUGGUAAUCUCUCGGCAGAUAGAGUGCCUGUUGACAUUCAUUUCUUUCCUCACCAAUCUUUCUGAAAGAUGCUGCUGACUCCAAACCUUCUGUUCUGGUGAACGUAUCAUGUAGUGGCAUCACUAACAUUGGGAACACUCCAGUGCUUUAGCUCAUGGUGUCACCUCCUACCAUCACACAACUUCAGUAAGUGGGAAGCACAACCAGAGAGAGGAAUCCAGACUUUAUUGUACUUCCUCCACAUCUGCAGCGCAAAAAUGGAAGCAGGAAGGAUCCCAGACCAGAGCUUUCUUGGAUCCUCCCAGCCCUACAGAAGAAGCCUGGGGGAGAGGAGAAGCAUUUGUCCAGGUACUGAGCUUUUCUCCUGACAUGCACACACUUGGAAUGCAGAACUGAGUGGAAAGAGAGACAGGGAAAGGUGCUGGAAGGAGACACACCAGCAGAUGGGAAGGAGCAUUCAUUCUGCACCCUCAUCCUUCUGUCUGCCUGCUUGAACCUCACAUCACCCCACUGCUUGCUUGUCUUCCUUCCCACUGUCACAGCUUCCCUUUCUUGGGUUGCUAGGCAGGAGCAGCACCCCACACUCACCACUGACAGCAUUGGAUGGUCAGCAGUAGGCUUGAUCGAUCCACGAAAAAUUUGAUUCUAAACUCGUUUCAAAACUAGAGGGGGGCAGUUUUUCGUUUCUGAUGGUAUUUCCGAAUUUGGCCCCCCAAAAAAUUCGAAAUUAACGAAAAUUCGUUAUUUUCUAAAUUAAUUCGUUAAUGGCGGACGCACAUGCGCAAUUCCCAAAAACAGCACAGAGGGAGAGGACUUUACAGGACUCUCCCACCCUCAUUUUUUGAGUGUUCUUCUUCCAACUUGGUACAGUGGUAGAACACAUUUAACACUGAUAGCUCACCAAAAUUUGGAACGUUUCUCUUAUCCUCUGAUUUUUGGCGAAUUUUCAUAGCUUUUAUAAUAAACCAUUUUUUAAUAAUUGCAGAAAUCUGUUCCUGGUUUGAAAGUCUUAUUUCCUGUUAAAUUGGGUUGUCUUUACUGUGAAAGUCAUUGUUCUACUUCAGAAACUUUGUUUUUGUGGCUGAAACUUUGUUAAAUUGGUGUGUGUGUGAUAUAUACUGUGUAUAUAGUCCCUGCAUAAUGUGUGUGUGUGUGUGUGUGUGUGUGUGUGUAUAGGUAAAGGUAAAGGUAUCCCUUGACAUUAAGUUCAGUCAUGUCUGACUCUGGGGGUUGGUGCUCAUCUCCAUUUCUAAGCCCAAGAGCCAGUGUUGUCCAUAGACACCUCCAAGGUCAUGUGGCUGGCAUGACUACAUGGAGUGCCAUUACCUUCCCGCCAGAGCGGUACCUAUUGAUCUACUCACAUUGGCAUGUUUUCAAGCUGCUAGGUUGGCAGAAGCUGGAGCUAACAGCGGGCACUCACUCUGCUCCCGGGAUUUGAACCUGGGACCUUUCGGUCUGCAAGUUCAGCAGCUCAGUGCUUUAACACACUUCGCCAUCGGGGCUCAUGUAUAUAUAAUAUACAUACACAUACACACAAUGUGGAGAAUAUGUGGAAAGGUAGAUAGAUAAGUUGGGAGCCACAGCGAAGGCACCUUCCUGGGAGCAAGGUCUAAUAAUAAUAAUAAUAAUAAUAAUAAUAAUAAUAAUAAUAAUAAUAAAUCCCUUACAAUAUCCAAGAUGGGUACCAUUAUUGGCAGAGAAAGCCAAGCUGUAGGAGUUGAAAUCCAAUCAUUUAUCCUCCCUAUAGAAUCAAUUUUAUAUGCAUUUUUAGCUACAGAAAAGCUAAAAUCAGGACAGUAAAAGAACAACACCCAGAAAAUGGGAAUUCCAGACAGGAAACAAUCAGGGCCAGCUAAUACCUCCCAACAAAGGAUUCCCCCAGGUAGGAAGCAGCCAGGCUUUGAAGCUGCAAGGCUAUUCAAUGCUAAUCAAGGUGACCAAUUGCAACAUUCACACUUGCCUCCCACAGACAAGAGUUCUUUCUCCCACCCUGGACCUUCCACAGAUAUACAAACCCCACUUGCCUAGCUUCGCACAGACGUCAAAACCUCACCGCCGGGCCCCUCUCUGUCUCUCUCGGUCUCUCCAUUCCCGGCUCCAUCCGCCGCCUUCCCGCCUCACAGAGAGACACCAGGCCUGAGCUGAGGCGAGGCGGCGGCGGCGGCCAUUUCCCCCCUCCGUCUUCCUCCUCCUCCUCGGCCUCCUUCCCCCUCGCCCCCUCCCAUUGGCUGAGCCCGUGACGCCCCUUUUGCUGAGGGGCAAAAGGAAAGGGCCUGAAUGGUGGGAGUUUGGGUGAUUUGCAAAAGCUGUUUUUUCCUAACGAAAAAAACGACGACAUAACGAAAAACGGCCUCUCGCGAUUCGAAACCGCGAUAUCCAGACGUGUGGACAACCAAUGCUUCAAAAUUGCUUCAAACCAAACGAAAAUAACGAAUUAAUAACGGUUAACGGGGAAAACGAAUUAUUUGAGCAAGCCUAGUCAGCAGAGCUGCCUUGGCAGCUGGAGAAGGGUGACCAAGGGGUGCUAAACUAAUGGCAAUCACCUCGCUGGAUCUUACCCAGCUGCAAUGGAGUCAUCUAGUUUGGCCCAUGCCCACUAUUACAAGAAAGGAUGGUGAGACUGGGAAUAACAAUGUAAUUAUCUGAAUAUCUUGUUGAGACAAGUGCUAUUGAAUACAGGAUUUAUUUAAGUAAAUAUGUCUCAGAUUAUGUAUUACCUUAGAUCUCCUUUUUGACCUGGUGCCCUCAAGAUGUUUUAGACCACAAUUUGUAUCACCACUGAGUGACCUCACAAAAGUUGUAGUCCAAACUAAAGUGGGGGCUAAUAAAGGUUGGAUUAGAGAGAUUCAUAGAGAGUGGGCAUAUUGAUGAUGAAUCACAGACAGUAAGCGAUAUGAGAUUCUUGGAAUCCUUUGGAAAUUCAUUCAACAUGGUUCUCUUUAUGUUUCCCAGUGAAGAGCAUAUGGUGAAAUGCAAUUUAAUCAUAUAUGGGUCUGGGACAAAUAAUAAGAUGUGAGAAAAUAAAAAGAUCUCUGCACAUCCCAAAUCACAAGAAAAACCUUGAUUUAUUAUAAGUAGAGAAGGAAUGAAUAUGACAAAUGAGCUAACCAGUUGUGUGGAUCUAUUGGCACCACCUUACAAAAUUUUUUGAAAGAUUAACUUCAAAACAUUGAUCGCCUUACGCUCCAAGGAAAAUGCAGACAACUUCUGUAUGUAUAUGUAUUUCUAUUCUUCUACUUCUCUUUUCUUUCAGUAUUGAAGCACCAGAAAAAUCUGAAAAUACUAACAACAAUAAAGCAAAAAUAUACACAGGCAGUCCCAAAGUUAUGAACAAGAUAGGUCUGGUAGGUUUGUUUUUAAGAUGAAUUCGUAUGUAAGUCAGAACAAGUGCAUUUUUAAAUAAACAAACCUACCAGACCUAUCUUUCCAAAUAUAUAUUUAUAUAUAUACACACACACACACACACAC